rnacentral:ncRNA from 1 species
UGUUACGUGGUGAUUUGGUCGACCGGCUUGCGCCCACGUUAAAAAAACCCGCUAAAAGGUCGGAGCCA